GACGAACGCUGGCGGCGUGCUUAACACAUGCAAGUCGAACGGAAAGGCCCUGCUUGCAGGGUACUCGAGUGGCGAACGGGUGAGUAACACGUUGGUGAUCUGCCCUUCACUUCGGGAUAAGCCUGGGAAACUGGGUCUAAUACCGGAUAGGAGCCAUUUUUAGUGUGAUGGUUGGAAAGUUUUUUCGGUGUAGGAUGAGGUCGCGGCCUAUCAGCUUGUUGGUGGGGUAAUGGCCUACCAAGGCGGCGACGGGUAGCCGGCCUGAGAGGGUGGACGGCCACAUUGGGACUGAGAUACGGCCCAGACUCCGACGGGAGGCAGAAGUGGGGAAGAUUGCACAAUGGGCGCAAGCGUGAUGCAGCGACGCCGCGGGCGGGAGGACGGCCUACGGGUUGGAAUCGUAUUUCGCUAGGGACGAAGCUUUUUGUGACGGUACCUAGAGAAGAAGCACCGGCUAACUACGUG
rnacentral:rRNA from 1 species